UUGAUUGAGACAAUGUACAACACUUAUCGAUCAACUAUUGGAGGGCAAGUCUGGUGCCAGCAGCCGCGGUAAUUCCAGCUCCAAUAGCGUAUAUGAACGUUGUUGCAGUUAAAAAGCUCGUAGUUGAAGUGUGGAUGUGACUGUCGUAUGUCUUCGGACUGUCGGCACGAAUCAUCCCCUUCCAGUGUUCACGCAUGGGUAUUAACUUAUUUGUGCGUGGGUAUUGGUCCUUUACUGUGAGAAAAUUAGAGUGUUCAAAGCAGACGUUUGUUUGAAUACAUUAGCAUGGAAUAAUAAUUGAAGGCUUUCGUGUUCGAUUUGAUUGGUUUGUUCAUGGAAGCAAGAUUAAAAGGAGCAGUUGGGGGUAUUCAUAUUCAAUAGUUAGAGGUGAAAUUCUCGGACUUAUGGAAGAUGAACAAGUGCGAAAGCAUUCACCAAGGAUGUAUUCAUUAAUCAAGAACGAAAGCUAGGGGAUCGAAGAGGAUUAGAUACCCUCGUAGUCUUAGCUAUAAACGAUUCCGACUAGGGGUUAGUAGAGGUCAAUGUGUCUUUAUUAGUACCUUAUGAGAAAUCAAAGUCUUUGGGUUCCGGGGGGAGUAUGGUCGCAAGGCUGAAACUUAAAGGAAUUGACGGAAGGGCACCUCCAGGAGUGGAUCCUGCGGCUUAAUUCGACUCAACACGGGGAAACUUGCCAGGUCCAGACAUAGGAAGCAUUGUCAGAUUGAUAGCUCUUUCUUGAUUCUAUGCGCGGUGGUGCAUGCCCGUUCUUAGUUGGUGGAGUGAUUCGUCUGUCUAAUUACGAUCACGAGCGACACCUCCACCUUUAGCUAGUUGUUGUCAUUUCGAUAUGCGCAACUUCGUAUAGGGCCCCUGUAUGUUAAAAGUAGGGAAGCUGCAGCCAAUAACAGGUCUGUGAUUGCCUU
rnacentral:rRNA from 1 species